GCUCCAGACUCCUACGGGAGGCAGCAGUGGGGGAUAUUGCACAAUGGGGGGAACCCUGAUGCAGCGACGCCGCGUGAGUGAAGAGGUCUUUCGGUAUGUAAAGCUCUAUCAGCAGGGAAGAAAAUGACGGUACCUGACUAAGAAGCCCCGGCUAACUACGUGCCAGCAGCCGCGGUAAUACGUAGGGGGCAAGCGUUAUCCGGAUUUACUGGGUGUAAAGGGAGCGUAGACGGCAUGGCAAGUCAGAUGUGAAAGCCCGGGGCUCAACCCCGGGACUGCAUUUGGAACUGUGCUGCUAGAGUGUCGGAGAGGCAGGCGGAAUUCCUAGUGUAGCGGUGAAAUGCGUAGAUAUUAGGAGGAACACCAGUGGCGAAGGCGGCCUGCUGGACGAUGACUGACGUUGAGGCUCGAAAGCGUGGGGAGCAAACAGGAUUAGAUACCCCUGUA
rnacentral:rRNA from 1 species